AAGACUAUACUUUCAGGGAUCAUUUCUGUAGUUUGUUGCUAGAAAGCCUGCAGAGCUACUAUAAGUACACUGAU
rnacentral:snoRNA from 1 species